GCCAGAACUCCGCCUGCUCCCGCGCGCUGGCGAGACGUCAUAGAGCAGCCCGGCCGCUGCCUCUCCUGCGGGAGGCCCACUGCCCGUCUCUAUGGCGGGAACUCCAGCCCCUCCAUGCCUUGAUCAGACCACGAGGCUUUCCUCUGCAUCUUGACUGAGCUUGUCUCCUUCCAUCGUCCCGAGUGUCGCAGGGCAGGAGGACACUUGAGGGCUGAGUCCUGACUUCUAAGUGAACACAAGCCCUGGGAUGCGGAGAGCAGGACAGAUGCUGAGGCGUCAGGUGUGUGGGAGCCCUUCCUCUGGAACCUAGCUAAUAAUUUCUUAUUAGCAAGAACAAGUGAGGAAAACUGCGGUUCCACCGGAAACCUAUUGACUAUGAUAACUGAGGUCCGUCUUCCCUGCUCAGAGUGAGGCCUGAGACCACACCCGGUGCCUUCCCGCGUCAGCCCAGCUUCUCCAACUCUGGGCCAGGCACGUGUUCAGCUCUAUGAUGAAGUUCAGCCUGGCGGCUGCAGUCACCACAAUCAGAGGAACAAGAACUGACUCAAGCUUCUGUCCAGCUGCGUGGACCCCAGCUCAUCCUUGUGGGUUUCAGCUUGUCCUGAUCCUCCCCCACUUCACAUCCCUAUUCCUUCCUGAUGGUCCGCCCUGCGGACCCCAAGCUCCAGCCUGACACAGAGACAACAGUUGUAUGGAGACUGCUUAACAUUACUUGCUGCCUCAAGGGCCUAGGGUCAAAUCCCUGAAACAAAUACAGCUGUGUAUGUAGGCAAACAUGGGCUUCCCUGGUGGCUCAGGGGCAAAGAAUCCUCCUGCAGUACAGAAGCCACAGGAGAUUUGGGUUUGAUCCCUGGGUCAGGGAGAUCCCCUGGGGAAG
ensembl:lncRNA